GCCUGACGCUCCUUGUUAAUGCCGGUUGCUGUUACAGACUUGCAAUUGUGCAACUCUGUGAUGUAAACAGGCAGGCUUUGUAUUUUUGCAGUGCCCCUGGAGAGUGGAGAGGGUGGUUCUCUUGGCUGUCUCUGGAACAAAUUUGGAGGAAAGGUCCUGUGAGGGUACAGUGAGAAGAUGGCCAUCUACCAGCCAGGAGGAAAGGCCUAACAAGAAACCAACUCUGCUGGCACCUUGAUCGUGAACUCCCGCCCUCUAGAACUGUGAGAAAAUAAACGUCUGUUUAAGCC
rnacentral:lncRNA from 1 species